UGGGGAAUAUUGCGCAAUGGGGGGAACCCUGACGCAGCCAUGCCGCGUGAAUGAAGAAGGCCUUAGGGUUGUAAAGUUCUUUCGGUAUUGAGGAAGGUUGAUGUGUUAAUAGCACAUCAAAUUGACGUUAAAUACAGAAGAAGCACCGGCUAACUCCGUGCCAGCAGCCGCGGUAAUACGGAGGGUGCGAGCGUUAAUCGGAAUAACUGGGCGUAGAGGGCACGCAGGCGGUUAUUUAAGUGAGGUGUGAAAGCCCCGGGCUUAACCUGGGAAUUGCAUUUCAGACUGGGUAACUAGAGUACUUUAGGGAGGGGUAGAAUUCCACGUGUAGCGGUGAAAUGCGUAGAGAUGUGGAGGAAUACCGAAGGCGAAGGCAGCCCCUUGGGAAUGUACUGACGCUCAUGUGCGAAAGCGUGGGGAGCAAACAGGAUUAGAUACCCUGGUAGUCCACGCUGUAAACGCUGUCGAUUUGGGGGUUGGGGUUUAACUCUGGCGCCCGUAGCUAACGUGAUAAAUCGACCGCCUGGGGAGUACGGCCGCAAGGUUA
rnacentral:rRNA from 1 species